rnacentral:lncRNA from 1 species
UUUUUCUUUUUUUUUUUUUUUUUUUUUUCCACAUUUUUUUCUGAUCUGUGUCUCCCCUUCCUCACCUCCAGGGCCACUUGCGUAGUUUCAGUCCUCAUCAUUUCUCUCCUGAAACUGUGCAAUAGUUUGACAUGAAGACUCAGUUCUGGCUGUUGUUUUUAUUAUGCUGCUGGUGUUUUCUUUCUAAAUCACAAACUGGUCAUGGCAUAGUUCUUCCUGAAAAUAUCCACUGCAGUUCAGAUGCUAUCAAAUCAGCAACAGGCUCUCUAGCCUCACAUGCAAGGCACUUCACAGCUGGACAAAAGCCACUUUGGCCAUCAACCCAGUUUAACCACUUUGGAUCAUUCAUUGUCUCUUGUUCCUUAAUAUCUUUGCUCAAAUGACCUCUCUUAGUCUGAAAGAGACCCUACCUAUUGCUUCUGUCUGCCCCUUUCCACUGGACAAAUGUAUAGCCAUGAAUUAAUACCUAAUUCAAAUGGGGACUUCUCUGAACUCCCGGGGAAAAAAUUCUUUGCUUCUUCAUUAUAUGCACAUAUAGUUCUUUACAUAUACUUUAUAAUAUGAUGCUAUAAAUGUCUUAAUUGCUGAAAUUCUCAAUAGAUACUGGCUAAAAAUUAAGUCAAGGGUUGUUGAUAUAUUUUUUUUAUUUAUGAUAGUCAGAGAGAGAGAGAGAGAGAGGCAGAGACAUAGGCAGAGGGAGAAGCAGGCUCCAUGCACCGGGAGCCCGACGUGGGAUUCAAUCCCUAGUCUCCAGGAUCGCGCCCUGGGCCAAAGGCAGGUGCUAAACCACUGCACCAUCCAGGGAUCCCUGGUUGUUGGUAUUUUUAUGAAACUUUUAUAACAUUGUACUUAAUGGAAUAUACUGAAUAUAUGCAAUAGUUUGAGAAUACCAAUAGAGAUUACUUAGGACUGCACUUGGGCUGUCACAUCAAGUAAAAAGCAUCUAAAAUUAUUAAAUUAAAUGCAAGGACUUUAAGACAAGGCAUGGGUUUAAAAUCAGGGAGAGAUACAAGAAAGUACUGGUAACUUCUUUUUUUCUUGAGAGUAUUUCAGAAAGAAAAACAACAACAACAACACUAUUUUAAAAGUGUGAUACAGAAGAACAAGCACUGGCCUAAAAGGUCACUAUUCUUAGUUCAAGUAGCUAUAAUACUGUUCACUAAUACUGAGACCCAAGACCAGUCAGGUAACUUCCUUGCCUCCAUUAGUCUCACCUUUCUUUUCAUAAAAUGGGGAUUAAAUUAUUUGCCCUAAAAAACAUCAAGCGGAUGUGGAAAGGAUCAAAGUGUAAUAAUGAUAGUAGCUUAUAUUUACUGAGUGCACAGAAGGAGCCAGAUGUAGUGCUAAGUGCAUUCCAUAAAUAAUCUCAUUUAUUAGUCACAUUGAGGAAAGUAGGCAACAGCAAGAUGGGAAUAAGGGGACAAUUAUUGACAGGAGAGAGGACAGAAAAACAAAAGCUGUUGAGAAAAGGCAGUGUAAUCUACUUCCAAAUCAAUACAGGGAGCUUCAAUCCUUUUGAGCAUCCAGUGUUUGCAAAAUGCCGUCACUGGCAUGAGUUCUGCUGCCAUAUCAUUUACUAGGCAGUCCACCACAGUGAGGAGAGAUUGUUCUGUGGAAGGCUUCAACUCAAGUUGAAAAAUACACCUGUUACAUUUUUAAAAAGUAAGUUUGCUACAUUUUAUACAAAUUUAUUUUUUCUUCUACCACUCAUUGCUUCUCUUAUUUUAAUGUCUUUAUUUUUCUAAAUACAAGCCUAAAUAUAUGUGUAUACACAUAUUAUAUAAAAUAUAUAAAUCUUUGUGUGUGUGUUUAUGUUUAAUGUGUCUGUGAGUUUGCAUUUUCAUUCUGGACAUACCAGAAUACAGCUUUCAAAAUGCUAAGCACUGAAAACAAUUUAAGACACUCUAAAAAUGGUACUAAUAACAGCCCUUUCAUUUACUGAAAUUAGCUGUCCAAGGCAGAGCUAGAGAAGAAAAAGGGCCACACAUCAGAUCUUCCUAUAUUCCUGUGUAUUCCAUAGAUGUGUCUCCUUCUUCUGUGGCAGUUUUCUUUAUUUAGGUGACUUGUAUUCACAUUGCUUUUUUGGCAGUAAAUUAGCACUCAGGAUCAUUUAAUUUCAAACACACACACACACACAGGUGUGACAAUAAUAAUAGUAACAUAGCACGCCUUGGAUGAAGAGAGUUAUUAACCACUUAUUAUAUUCAUGACUUGUAAUGGGAGUGAUCCAACAUUAAGAGUAUCCCUAGUGGCUAUGACUAUUUCCACAUCUUUAGAGCACAUUCUUGCAGGGUACAGAGGCAAAUAGCAUGUACUUCUGUUUGCUCACAAAAAGCAAAGAAAAGGUUAUAUUUUCUAAAUUUCUCAAACCCCAUAUAAUAUAUAUAUAUAGGUAAGGACAGUGUGUUAAACUCAAAGCUUUUCUAGUUCACAUAAGCACCAUAAGUGCAAACCAAGCAUCUAUCAUUAAUUGCUCAAUUCUGUUAGAGACUACACAAGAAUUAUUUUCACAUGGCAUUUUUAUGUCCAGUCAGUUUCCCCUGUCUCCGAUCCAAGCAGUGUGAAAAGAAAGAAACUAAUAGAUAAUGGAACAUAUAAAUUUGGUUUGAAUGACAAACAAUUUUACUAUCUUUUUAAAGACAACUACAAAUUUAGCUUCCAACUAUGAACAAAAGGAGUUUUUUUUCACAUUGUUUCCUGUGUUUCUAUUGUCAAUUAUAUCUAUAUGCAUAUAGCAUUUGCAUAGUCCUAUUUCCAAGAAAGCCUCUGAGUGUGCAAUCUGGAAAGUAUUUAAUUUUAAAAGAGAAUUUAGAUUCAGAUUAUGACUUGAAAUCAUGGUGAUAUUGAUUUUAUUUAAUUUUGAUUUUGAAGUCUGCUCAGAUUUUUAUCAAAAAAAAAUCUCAGGAAAAAAAAAAUCUUAGGACAUUUGGCACCUAUUACUGGAAAUCCUUGGAAAUUUAAUCACCAAUUAAGAACUUUCAAAAAUAAUGUAAAAUUUUCUAUAAUCUAGGCAUAAAGAUGCAUAUAGCUAAUGAGGAGCUUAAAUGACCCAUUGGUAGCAAACCAGAGAUUUUUUUAAACAUUAAUUUGAUAUUUGUGAAGUUAUGGAACAAGGAUAAUCGCAUAACCUUUCUUUAUUUAAUACUUAGCAUGACAUGAGAUUAAAAUUUUACUUCUAAAUUUAAUUUAAUUGAUACAAGUGAAAUCUAUAAAGUCCACAUGUGGAACAUGGAUGAUAUUAUUUAAUAUAAAUCUCUUCCUUUCCUUAAUACGGAAUACGUAAAUGAUGACAAAUGACCGGAUAGAUGCAUACAGGCAGGUCUUGAUACAAAGAUCUUUGUUGCCUUGCUGAGGCACUCAGAACUCUCAAAGUGUUCUGUGACAAGAUAGUGCUCAUUCUUAAAAAGCCAAAUGAAACUAUGUCUUUUAUUUUUGGAAGUCAUUGAAUGACCCCAUACAUGUAGAUCAGUGACUACACCCACCACUCAAACUAGAUCCACAAAGCAAAAGUUAUUGGACAGUUACUUUUGUAAAAGGCCUUAAUGUCCACAUUUGAAUCCUGUCAUUACUCAUUCAAAGGCACAAUUCAGGCAAUACUGGCAACGUUAUUGGCCCUAAAAGUGAGAAAGAAUUCUGAAAUUGUAGAGUUAGAGAGAAUUUUGAGAAUAAAGGUAUUUUGCCUAUAAACAUACUAUUAAUUCAUUCCUAAUGACUCGUUGCUCUCUCCUAUGGAAAUCCAUCCCUUUGAUGGCCUUGUCUAAUUUCUUCUGACUUACAGGCAGCUCAAUGGCUUUGCUCACUCUCACCAACAUUUAUAUACUGUUUUGCACAGGAAAUAGUAAGUUUAGAAUGCUCUUUUGGAACGCCAAUCUUGCUUCAUUUUUUCAGCCCUUUUUCAUAUAUCUAGAACUAUUUUUGUACUGAUAUUUCAGACAACUUCUAGUGUCAGUAUAACCUUCUGCCUCCUUAAGUUCUCUAGUGAUUUUAACAAGAUACAUGGCCAUUCAUUUUCUGUCCAACACUCUGGUAACUAAGACUUCUGUUGGGUCUUGGUCCUAUAAAUUGCAAAUAGGCAAAGGCUUUGGAAUUUAGCCUACAAAGUCUCAUACUUCUCAUAACCAAUCCUUCAAGAAACACUCCACUUCACGGCAACUUAUUUCCAAUGAGCCUAGUACCUUUUGGAAUAUAGGAAUCAUGAUACUUAGAAAAUAAUGCAAUGUGUCCAAGCUUUAUUCCCAUUCUUAAGUUUUAUUCAGAGAAUAUAUUCUUUUUAAAAAAAUAUCAUCAAAAGACUCUUUAUGAAUAUUUUCUAAAUUUUUCAAGGUAUAUACUCAGCAACAUAUUUUGCUUCUGAGAAUUGCUGCUUCAAACGCUUUCUAAAGAAUUGUACUAUUUUCCUGGCACAAAACAUGCUAUGGGGAUAGAUUGGUCUUCUCCAAUGACAAUGAAAUAUAAAAAGUGAAUAUCUCCCAAGGGAAAAGUUUUCAGUCUCUUUUGACUUAAUCUUUUGAAAGAGUUUAAGUAUCCCUUUUUCUGUUCUAUAUCUCAAUAUCAGAGGAAAGAAUCUAUCUCUCAACAAAGGGAUAGCAGGAAAAAAUAUAAUUUAAAACAUGAAUUUAAUAGUUCUGCCAUUUCUUAGGCUAUGAUACCCUAGACAAUACAACUAAGCCUGACUUUCUUUGUCUAAGAAGUGUAUAAUAAGUAAACAUCCUAUAAGGUAUUUAUAGAAGGCCAGGAGAAAAGAAAUAUGAAAGCACUACUGUGAAUCUGUAAAGUACCAUAGAAAUCUGUAUUAUCUUAUGAGAACCAAUUUAUAUAACCCUAAAUUUCUGUUAUUACUCAUUCUUCACAAGUUGCUGAAUUUUAAUAUUAUUUGAAGUACUCUGUGUGAAUGUUCACAAUUCUAGACAUUUGUGCUAUGUCUCAGGUUUUCCAGUGGAGAGUUGUGUGUGUGUGUGUGUGUGUGUGUGUGUGUGUGUGUGUAGGGGUGGUGUGCAUCACUAUUCAUAACUGAGUCACACCAAAAUGCUAAUUUUCGGAGGCAGAGCAAUGUAGGCAGUAGCUGUUCCGACAGUACACACUCUGAUGACAAGCAAAUGUUUUGCAGGAACAGAAUGCUUUCUGUCACCUUCCUCCAGAUGAAGGCCGAGAUACUCCAGAAAUAACAGAUGAAGAGAAGCCAGGACCUAACUGAACAUUUACCUAUUGAGACAGUAGCAAAUGCUCAAAACUUCAGUUAGGCUUCCUCUCCAAUCAGGCAGCAUGCAGAAUCCACAAUUUAUAGAAACAAAAAAAAGGCUUAUUUCGGACUUAAGUGGGGCAAUAUUUUCCAUCUAUUCCUGACAUUUCAUGUCUCCAAAUGGUUCUAUGGGGUAAAUACAGAUUAAGGAGCCCUGAUGAGAACACAUCCCUUCCAGAGCUUUCCAGCACCAGAAUUCAGAAUUCAUAUGUGGUCCUUGGACCACUCCUGUGAUUUCUGAGAGCUUUUCCACAUCUUGAUUCCUGGCAUUUCAUAACAGUAUCAGAGACCAAUCUUGGGAAGCAUGACUCUAUAGAUAUUUUAGAUAUUUUGGUUUGUGUUUUACAGUGUUCAUUUUUGCCUUUAUAUCCUUAAGAAUUCCCUUAUCCAACCAUCAUCACACUGUAUACUUUAAUAUAUGACAACUUGAUCUCUCCCUUAUACUUCAAUAAAGCUGGAAAAAGAAUCUUUUCUAAUCUUGCUAAGUGAAGCAUGGGCAGUCCCUGGGAACAUACUAUUGACUCUAAAUUCUGUAUUUAUGAAGCUCAUUUUCUCAUUUUCUCUGCUCUUACUAAAUGCUCUGCAGUGCCUCCUGUACUUUGGCCCUGCUGGGAAAGGAACAGGCCUGGACUCAGCAAUUCUAAGAACUGGGAAUGUAAUGAAUUUCCUUGUGAUUCACUCAGUCCUGUCCUCCAAAUCCUAUUAUCUCUUAAUCCAUUCAGCUUCUCCUAAUGAAUUUCCCUUUCUUUCUUGCAGAUUACCACAGGAAGCUGAGGAGUCUGGGAAAAGAGUGAAAUCUACCACUUAGUCAUUUUGAGUGGUAAUAAAGUUGGUCUUUAAAGAAGAGGAAAAAAAAAAAGGGAAACAGGAGACAUUGCAGAUUCUUUCUAAUUUAGAAGCAACAUGGUCUGUAGAAGUCACUUUAGCUAUGGGUUGACAGACCUUGAUCUAUGACCUGUCCUGUUUGGUAUAAGGUUUCUGGGAAAGUGCAACCCAUUCCAAAGAGCAUGAACUCAUGUGUCUAGGGAUUAUAGAAUAAAUUAUACUUUUAGGAAAUAUCACAGGGGCCAUUGAAAUAACCAUGGAUACCAUCCUUCAGUGAUUUUUAUAUGGGAUAUUACUAAUUCCUAAAAUUUAUACCUCUGGAAACACUGUCCAUUGGCUUGGAAACAGAGACUUUUAUCCUGCUUUGUGGCUAUAAUUCAACUCUAGACAGGAGUUGGUGAAUGUCUCCUUGGAGGAAAAGAAAGACAAAGAUAAUAAGAUACUAACUGAUAAAGAGAGUGAAGAAGGAAGAGAAGGAGGAGGAAAUGAGGAGGUGGGGUAAGGGGAGUGGUGCUGGGUAAUUAUAAAGAUGCAGGGUAGUACAGCAUAGAGGAAAUAGCUCUAUUUUUGAAUAUAAUAGAACUCUGGUUUCAUAUCAAGGUUCAGUCAACAGUGAGCAGUGUGAUCUUGGGGAAUUGACUCAACUUCUCUGAACACCUGUUUUCCUUACCCAAACAAUACCCAUCUCAGAGGAAUUAAAUAAUUUAUGUAGGGUACUCCUGUAGUCAAAGUAUCUCUACAAUCAAUGCCUAAUGUGUAUUUAGAUAGGUGCUCCUUGAAUUUAAAAACCACUUAUUUGGUUUAAUAAUUCAAAUGCAGAGUCACCAACUGUUUUCUAGAUAUUAAAAAAAAAGUUUCUUUUUUAUAGGGAGAGGGAGAGCCUGUGGAUUGUCAGAAAACCCUUCUUAAUCCUCUAUGCUAUUCCUGUAUUUCAGCAAUCCAGACAUUCACAUGAAAGUCAGCCCCAAAGUUGCCUUACGAGACUGUUUUGGCAAGCCCCUAGAGGACAGGGAUAAUACACUUUUCAUUUAUGUUGUUCCAUCUUUCUUAAUGUCUAGGACUUUAUUUUAUCUUCCAAAUCUCCCUGGAGAGAUCAAUAGGCUAUAUCUGAGUAAUUAUUAUCCUCACCGUAUAGAUGAUUGAUAGAGAUAGAUAGAUAGAUAGAUAGAUAGAUAGAUAGAUAGAUAGAUGAUAGAUAGAUAGAUAUAGAUAGAUAGAUAGAUAGAUAGAUAGAUAGAUAGAUAGAUAGACAGAUGAUAGAUACAUAGUUAAUGGAGAGAGGGGAAGAAAGAGGAAGAAAGGGAAGUCGUGGUGAUGGUAGGGGAGGCAGAGAGAGAAAGAACUAUGGGAAGGAGAGGUUUUAUGACUUUGCUGAAGUAAAAAAGUACUGAAGGCUACUGGAAAAGUCGGAUCUCUUUUUUCCAAGUUGUAUAUGUUUUCACAGGCUACAUAUACAUCACGCCACACACAAAUCAAUAAAUCUUUGGAUAACCAUGAUAAAGGGCAAAUUUGUUCUAAACUCCGUCAGUGCUGAAACAUUUUCACAAAGAUGAGUCUCAUUACAUAUCCUGUACCUCCCACAUUCCUUUCUACUUUGUCUCAAUUACUCAUACAUAUCCAGGAUGGAGUGAAAAUUAUCAGUGGUGUUUUAGCCUGAGUAGACAAAAAUAUCCUCUAGGCAUCCUGAAGAAAACAUUUUUAUAUCAGUUCUAACCAUGAUCUGUAGUGUAAUGCAGGGGUUCAAUAAGUGCUAGGGAAAUAAAUGAACUUUCAAAAUUUCUCAAAUAUGCACAAACAUGUGAUAUUGUAUUAGCAGUCAGAGAAACCAGAAUAGAGAAGAGGUCUCAAAAAGAAAGAACACAAGAUUUUGUUCUCAUUUCUGCUAAUGGUUAACUAACUUGAAGCAAGACAACAGAUUUCACUGAAACUCAGUUUAAUUAUCUCUACAAUGGAGAUAAUGAGAUUAUUCUCUUACAUCCCUCUCAAAAGGGGAAAAUGAGGGGGAAAUUGAUAAAAUGUCUAGAAUUUUUUGGAUGCAAAUA